GCCAAGAACAAGUCGAGGAUUUAAACCGUGUAGUAGAAAUCGCAGAUAUGAAUCCGACCGUAUUACAAGGAAGUGGUUUUGACCAUGAUACAUUGAGAGUACUCACACAUUAUGUCAAAGGAAACAUCCAAGAGAAGAAAAAUGACUUAAGA